UUCACCUCACCGCAUUGACCAAAGCUACGCACACAACUUACCUCACUUCGCUGACGAAAGCUGCGGUAUGCUGCUAUACAAGCAAGCACCUCACACCGAAUGCGAUCAUUUCUUCCAGCUCGCCAGCGAGGACGGUCGCCCAGCAGUCGGCAGCAAUAGGCAGCGGUUGACCUGCGGCAUAUGGAUGAACAGCAGGGUAAUAACAUUGUAGAUGUCGGAGUAGAUCUAUCUGAGUUCUAUAUGUCUGUGGAGUGGGAUAUUCUUGAAGUUCCAGCGUUCAGAUCUCUGGUGCCCUUAACCGAAAAUGGUCCUAGCCUUUAGGAUAAUUCUGCACCUUGUUAUCACGCCUGCUCUGUAAGUUAGACAAUGAAGAUUUUACAGUCCCGUCAUUUUUUAAGGAAGAUAUGUUAAUUGGAUUGGCCAUUUAGCGUCCGGAUCUCAAUCCAAUAGCGAGCGUAAAGAAACAAUGGUUGAAUUGAGGCAAACAAUAGAAGAAGUGCGAUAUUUAAGCGUUUUAUUCGAAUCCAUCCCAAAUAGAGGUAAAAGUGUCAUAAACGCCAAA